CCUACGGGAGGCAGCAGUGGGGAAUAUUGCACAAUGGGGGAAACUCUGAUGCAGCGACGCCGCGUGCGUGAAGAAGUCUCUCUGUAUGUAAAGCUCCAUUUGUAGGGAAGAAAAUGACGGUACCCGUCUAAGUCUCCCCGGCUAAUUACGUUCCAGCAGCCGUGGUUAUACGCAGGAGGCAAGCGUUAUCCGGAUUUACUGGGUGUAAAGGGAGCGUAGUCGGUAGCGCAAGUGCGAAGUGAAACCCCGUGGCUUAACCAUGGAACUGCAUUGGAAACUGUGCGGCUGGAGAGCAGGCGAGGUAGGCGGAAUGCAUGGUGUAGCGGUGAAAUGCGUAGAUAUUAGACAGAACACCGAUUGCGAAGGCAGCUUACCAAGCUAUAACUGACGUUGAGGCACGAAAGCGUGGGGAGCAAACAGGAUUAGAUACCCUUGUAGUC
rnacentral:rRNA from 1 species